AAGACCUGGCGGCAGGCUUACACAUGCAAGUCGAACGGUAGCAGGAGAAAGCUUGCUUUCUUGCUGACGAGUGGCGGACGGGUGAGUAAUGCUUGGGAAUCUGGCUUAUGGAGGGGGAUAACUACUGGAAACGGUAGCUAAUACCGCGUAAUAUCUUCGGAUUAAAGGGUGGGAUCUUCGGACCACUUGCCAUAAGAUGAGCCCAAGUGGGAUUAGGUAGUUGGUGGGGUAAAGGCCUACCAAGCCGACGAUCUCUAGCUGGUCUGAGAGGAUGGCCAGCCACACUGGAACUGAGACACGGUCCAGACUCCUACGGGAGGCAGCAGUGGGGAAUAUUGCACAAUGGGGGGAACCCUGAUGCAGCCAUGCCGCGUGAAUGAAGAAGGCCUUCGGGUUGUAAAGUUCUUUCGGUGAUGAGGAAGGCAGAUAAGUUAAUAGCUUAUGUGAUUGACGUUAGUCACAGAAGAAGCACCGGCUAACUCCGUGCCAGCAGCCGCGGUAAU
rnacentral:rRNA from 1 species